CUCAAACAGAGGAGGACACACCAGACCCAGCAGAGACAUGAUGAUCUCCAACUGGACCAAACAGUUUCUCCUGUAUGAAGUGAUUGUACUGGUUGUUUGCCAUAUUGGGGGCCAGGACAAUUUAAGAAAAUAUAGCAUCUCUCACCACUGAAUUAUAGAUGUUUAAACUUUCCAUCAUUGUUGUGAAGACUGUGGGAUGAGCUCGAAAGCCCCAGAAGAAGAAAGUAGGUGAACCUUGGGUUGAGAUUGUUCUGUGAACAGGAGUAGUAGCAGUACUACUAGCAGCAAGAGUAUUACUAGUAAUUGUAGUUAUAGUAAGAAACCUCACUUGUUUUGUUGUAAAAGUGAGUACUUUUUCAUUUCUAUUUGACUUUUCUACUUUUGUUGGGUGUAAUAUCAGCAGUAGUAGUAGGAGUUGCAGUGAUAUUAACUAUACUAAUGUCAGCUUUAUUAAGAUCAGUAUCUGUAAGUAUUUCCAAAAUCAAGUAUUUCGUUGGAGCCAUCUGACCAUCAUUACCUCGUUCUUCUCGUACCAGCUGAGGUCAUUCCUGUUGGCAAACUCCUGAGACCUCUUCACCACGAAGUAGAUGAGGUAUCCGCUGCCACCGAGGCUGCAGGUGAUCAUGAAAUUAGCCAGGACUCUGAGGAACCUCCGCAGUCUGUGUGGCCGGUUGCCAUGGUUACCUUGAAGCUGGUGGUGAUGGAGGCGUACUUGUUGUCUGCAGUCUCUGCGUUGCCUAUGAGGUAAUCCCAGCUGGUGAACAUCUUCCAGGCGAAGGUGAACUCUCCUUCCUCUCCGUCUCCACCGCCAACAUCAGCGUUCUUGGCCAUUCUGAUGAAAAAACAUUGCUGACAUUGCUCAGCUGUAGCUGAAACAGCCUGGCUGAGAGGUUUUUUUGUACUUGAUUUAACUUGUUUAACAGUAAACAUCCAAAAGGCAACUGUACAUCCUAUUAUACUGCAGACUCACGUGCGGAUCACGACCAUCAGGCUGUAGCCGAAUGUACCGAUCCCAACCAUAAGGUAGGACAGAGGCAGCCUAAACUUCAGCAAGCCGAUGGUCCUCUGGUCGUUGUAAUAUCCAUAAAACAGGACUGAAUAUUUGCAGUAUCCCUGAGAAAAGAAGACAUGCCAUCAUUAGGUUUUUUCAUUGCUCUUUUCCUCACUCAUCUUCCUUUAGUGUCUGUGUUGGUUUGGGAAACACAGCUGUGCUGUCAUUUAGCCAAGAUGCUUUGGAAAGGUUGAAUAUACAGUAAAAUGAAGGGUAUGUAUUACAUCUGGCAUUCUAAAAUAUUCAGAAGGGAAAGAGAAUGUGUGAAUUGUGUGAAAAAGUUGUUGGAAAAAGUAGAAUUGAGUCUCAUUUUCUUCUGUUUUGUACAAACUAUGAUCAUUUAAGAGUGUCAAUUUUGCAUGAAAUGGCUCAACAGAGCCCUUAAAUAUUCUCGUAUACAGGUGAUGCACUGUAUAUAUGAAAUGUAUUUAUUUAUUUUAUUUGAUGUGAUUACAUUUGCUAAUUUGGCUCAAAAGCAAAAAGAAGGCAAGAAUGACUUUCUGGUGUGUCUUUACUUUGAUUUCUCUAGUGGGUUACUAUUAUAUAUGCUUUGUUAGUAACCUGUGAAUUUUGUUUGUCUGUUUAGACAUAAAGGUGUGUAAAACUG